GAUCCUGGCUCAGAGUGAACGCUGGCGGCGUGCCUCAGGCAUGCAAGUCGAACGAGAAAGUUCCUUCGGGAAUGAGUACAGUGGCGCACGGGUGAGUAAUACCUAGGAAUGUACCUUUUCGCUGGGGAUAACUAAGGGAAACUUUAGCUAAUACCGAAUACCUCGCGUCGGCGAGAAAGCCGUAAGGCGCGAAAAGAGCAGCCUGGAUCCCAUUAGCUAGUUGGUAGGGUAACGGCCUACCAAGGCGACGAUGGGUAGCUGGUCUGAGAGGAUGAUCAGCCACACUGGUACUGGAACACGGACCAGACUCCUACGGGAGGCAGCAGCUGGGAAUUUUGCGCAAUGGGGGUAACCCUGACGCAGCAACGCCGCGUGAGUGAGGAAGGCCUUCGGGUCGUAAAGCUCUUUUAGCAGGGAAGAAAAAAAUGACGGUACCUGCAGAAAAAGCACCGGCUAACUCCGUGCCAGCAGCCGCGGUAAUACGGAGGGUGCGAGCGUUAUUCGGAUUCACUGGGCGUAAAGCGCACGUAGGCGGUUUGAUAAGUCUGAUGUGAAAGCCCUCGACUCAAUCGAGGAAGUGCAUUGGAUACUGUUGAACUGGAGUGUAGGAGAGGAAGAUGGAAUUCCCGGUGUAGAGGUGAAAUUCGUAGAUAUCGGGAGGAACAACAGUGGCGAAGGCGAUCUUCUGGUCUAUAACUGACGCUGAGGUGCGAAAGCAUGGGUAGCAAACAGGAUUAGAUACCCUGGUAGUCCAUGCCGUAAACGUUGAACACUAGGUUGUUGGGGGACCUUGUCCCUUCAGCGCCGCAGCUAACGCAUUAAGUGUUCCGCCUGGGGGAGUACGGUCGCAAGAUUAAAACUCAAAGAAAUUGACGGGGGCCCGCACAAGCGGUGGGGAGAUGUGGGUUU
rnacentral:rRNA from 1 species